GACUAUUGGCAACGGAUAUCUCGGCUCUCACAUCAAUGAACAAUGUAGCGAAAUGUGAUACUUGUGUAAAUUGCAGAAUCCCGUGAACCAUCGAGUCUUUGAACGCAAGUUGCUCCCGAAGCCGUUUGGCCGAGGGCACGUCUUCCUGGACGUCA
rnacentral:rRNA from 1 species